rnacentral:lncRNA from 1 species
UCAGGUUCAAUCAGAAAUACAGUGAAUGCUGCAGCCGAGAGCUACUCCACAGAGAAGCAACCUUGCAGAAACAUGACGCUGUGUCCUUACCCACUUUAUCCACCGGAUCUGGCAUAGUGUGACUUCCAGUCCUUCCCCAGAGUCACAGUGACCAUGAAAGAAGCAUUUUGAAUCCAGUCAGGAGAUCGAGGCAGCGAGGACAGCAGAACUAAAGACCCUCAGGAAAGAGGACUCCAGAGCUGCUGCAGAGGCGGUGAGGAGGACAGGACGAGUGUGUGCUGAGGUAGGAGAGUUCAUGGCAAUGUGUCUUUUACUCCAAUAAAAACAAUUUAAUUUUAAAUGUUCACCACAGUUCUCAAUCACACCUCAGAGAAGACCGAGCGGGGGAGCAGGAAGAAGACGAGGCCCAUGAGCUGCAGGGAGGCCCCAGAGGAACCAGCUGGCUCUGCCUCGGUCUUCCCCUUCAGCUGCACACUGUGAAGAGCAGGGUCUGCAUGGAGCCACUGAGCUGGGUCCAUGCGGCUUUGUCACAGGGCCCCAGCAAAGCAGCGUAUGCAGCAGCAGAAGCCUCUUAUGCCUCCUCCACACCUCGCUGCGUUGUCCUCUGGCUCUUCUGUUCAGGCGUGGACAUCAGCACAAAGGGUGAAGACCGGAACGUGAAGGCCAGCUGCAUGCUUGUUGUCCCUUGGCUGGAGCUACAGGCAAAGCCGAAAGUGGGGGGUGGAGCUUGGUGGAAGAGCAGGAGCAUCCUGAACAUGGGGGUCCAUGACUGGGGCACCACUGUGACCUCCAUUGGGCCAGACUUAUGGCAGAAUGGCUGGGCGUCCCUCUGGUACACAGAAUCCUUUGCUGGCAGAGGGUGAGUGAAGGGCCCACUAGCCAAUCAGAUGUGUCCUCUGCCUACAAGGAGGCUGCAAGAUGGACCCCUCAAGUCAGUAAGCUCAGCAGGGAAAUGCAGGCCUUCCUGCUAACAAGAGCAGGGGAAACUCAGGUAACUAAUAAGGUGGAAAUGUGCAACUUGUAACCCAUGGCGUUAAAACAAGCCACAUGCAAAUAUUUAUAAAAACAUUUUACUCUAAUAGGUAGUAAGUUUUGCUUCUUCAAAAAUAGCUCAUAGACCAUUGUCAUUUACAACCUAUGGAUACAUAGAAAGUGAUCAUUCC